rfam:Cruoricaptor ignavus strain DSM 25479 genome assembly, contig: Ga0131111_101
GGGGUUGACUGGUUUCGACAGCAGGACCAAUGGGUAAGUAAGCACGCAGAGAACCGCAGCGCGAUCUCUUUAAUCCCUUGCUGCAAAUAUUAACUGGCAACGAAGAGUUUGCUCUUGCUGCUUAAUCUGAAGCACAGUAGGAUAAGCGUUUUCCCGAAGCACAGUAAGGAAACAGGAUGUCUCGCCACAGUUCUUUUCUGCGACGGUGGGCUCUGAGGCAUAGGAAAGCGGAAAUAAGCUGCCGGAGGUUUCGGCCGGCAGACGAAAAUCGAAGAAAAUAAGCGCAGUGUUGGCGGUCUAUUGUCUGCACUUCGUCGAAAAAUAAGAAUAGACUAAGCGUGUAGAAAGCUUGCGUAUUGCCUGUUUGGACGAGGGUUCGAAUCCCUCCAACUCCACAA